UACGUAGGGUGCAGGCGUUAAUCGGAAUUACUGGGCGUAAAGCGUGCGCAGGCGGUCUUUUAAGUCAGAUGUGAAAUCCCCGGGCUUAACCUGGGAACUGCAUCCGAAACUGCCUGGCUAGAGUCCCGGAGAGGAAGGCAGAAUUCCCGGUGUAGGGGUGAAAUCCGUAGAUAUCGGGAGGAAUACCAGCGGCGAAGGCGGCCUUCUGGACGGUGACUGACGCUGAGACGCGAAAGCGUGGGGAGCAAACAGG
rnacentral:rRNA from 1 species